GGAUCUUAAUAACUUAGAACCAGAUAUUUUUAUUUUAUUUUUUGUAUAGUUUUCUUGGUUCAGCAGGUGCAUGUGUGCGUGUGUUGUGGUAAGAUUUAGGUGGUGAGGUGAGGCUGGCGAGAUGACGGUAGAGAGAUGGUUGUUUAUGGCUUCUCAACAGCGGGUCUGAUGGCGGUGUAAGGAUUCCGGCAAGCUGUUGCUGCUAGUUUUUUUAUUGAAGAAGAAGAAAG
rnacentral:lncRNA from 1 species